CCCACUAAUAGGGAACGUGAGCUGGGUUUAAACCGUCGUGAGACAGGUUAGUUUUACCCUACUGAUGAUUGGGUUGUCGCAAUAGUAAUCCUGAUCAAUAUGAGAGGAACCACGGGUUCAGACAUUUGGUGUAUGUGCUUGGCUGAGAAGCCAAUGGGUGAAGCUACCAUCUGUGGGAUUAUGACUGAAUACCUUUAAGUCAGAAUCCCCCCUAAAAGUGACGAUAUCGCAG